AUUGAACGCUGGCGGCAUGCCUUACACAUGCAAGUCGAACGGUAACAGGUCUUCGGAUGCUGACGAGUGGCGAACGGGUGAGUAAUACAUCGGAACGUGCCUAGUAGUGGGGGAUAACUACUCGAAAGAGUGGCUAAUACCGCAUGAGAUCUACGGAUGAAAGCAGGGGAUCGCAAGACCUUGUGCUACCAGAGCGGCCGAUGGCAGGUUAGGUAGUUGGUGGGAUAAAAGCUUACCGAGCCGACGAUCUGUAGCUGGUCUGAGAGGACGAUCAGCCACACUGGGACUGAGACACGGCCCAGACUCCUACGGGAGGCAGCAGUGGGGAAUUUUGGACAAUGGGCGAAAGCCUGAUCCAGCAAUGCCGCGUGCAGGAUGAAGGCCUUCGGGUUGUAAACUGCUUUUGUACGGAACGAAAAGCCCCGGGUUAAUACCCUGGGGUCAUGACGGUACCGUAAGAAUAAGCACCGGCUAACUACGUGCCAGCCGCCGCGGUAA
rnacentral:rRNA from 1 species